rnacentral:rRNA from 1 species
GCAGUCGAGCGGACCGACGGGAGCUUGCUCCCUUAGGUCAGCGGCGGACGGGUGAGUAACACGUGGGUAACCUGCCUGUAAGACUGGGAUAACUCCGGGAAACCGGGGCUAAUACCGGAUGCUUGAUUGAACCGCAUGGUUCAAUCAUAAAAGGUGGCUUUUAGCUACCACUUACAGAUGGACCCGCGGCGCAUUAGCUAGUUGGUGAGGUAACGGCUCACCAAGGCGACGAUGCGUAGCCGACCUGAGAGGGUGAUCGGCCACACUGGGACUGAGACACGGCCCAGACUCCUACGGGAGGCAGCAGUAGGGAAUCUUCCGCAAUGGACGAAAGUCUGACGGAGCAACGCCGCGUGAGUGAUGAAGGUUUUCGGAUCGUAAAACUCUGUUGUUAGGGAAGAACAAGUACCGUUCGAAUAGGGCGGUACCUUGACGGUACCUAACCAGAAAGCCACGGCUAACUACGUGCCAGCAGCCGCGGUAAUACGUAGGUGGCAAGCGUUGUCCGGAAUUAUUGGGCGUAAAGCGCGCGCAGGCGGUUUCUUAAGUCUGAUGUGAAAGCCCCCGGCUCAACCGGGGAGGGUCAUUGGAAACUGGGGAACUUGAGUGCAGAAGAGGAGAGUGGAAUUCCACGUGUAGCGGUGAAAUGCGUAGAGAUGUGGAGGAACACCAGUGGCGAAGGCGACUCUCUGGUCUGUAACUGACGCUAAGGCGCGAAAGCGUGGGGAGCGAACAGGAUUAGAUACCCUGGUAGUCCACGCCGUAGACGAUGAGUGCUAAGUGUUAGAGGGUUUCCGCCCUUUAGUGCUGCAGCAGACGCAUUAAGCACUCCGCCUGGGGAGUACGGUCGCAAGACUGAAACUCAGAGGAAUUGACGGGGGCCCGCACAAGCGGUGGAGCAUGUGGUUUAAUUCGAAGCAACGCGGAGAACCUUACCAGGUCUUGACAUCCUCUGACAACCCUAGAGAUAGGGCUUCCCCUUCCGGGG